rnacentral:tRNA from 1 species
GCCUGGGUGGCUCAGUCGGUUAAGCUUCUGACUUCGGCUCAGGUCAUGAUCUCGCGGUUUGUGGGUUCAAGCCCCGCGUUGGGCU